rnacentral:tRNA from 1 species
GGGGGCAUAGCUCAGUUGGGAGAGCGCCUGCUUUGCACGCAGGAGGUCAGCGGUUCGAUCCCGCUUGGCUCCA